rnacentral:lncRNA from 1 species
CCCACCCCCAUUUUCUUUCUUCUUCACACCCCCACCUCAUCUUGCCCACCCCGCCCCUCUUUACGUCCUCCCCCAACACCAGCUCUCCUCCUCUGUCAAACCCACCCUACCUCCAUUAUUUUCUAAUUUUCCUUCGUUAACCUCCCACCCCACCUUUAAUUUCAAUUUUCCUCCACCCCUAUCCCUCAUUUUUCUUUUUCUUCAAAUCACCCACCCCCGCUCCUGCCCCCUCCAUUUCUUUCUCUUCUUCCAGCCAACCCCCAUCCCAACCUCCAAUUUAUUUUUUCCCUUUUCCUUAAUUAACACCAUUAGAGAACAAUCACAAAAAUAUCAGAUUAAAAUUUUUCCUCCAUUAAACACCAUCUCAACCUUCAAUCAAACUUUCUCAAGUUUUCAACCACCAAAUUCACCCUUGAAGAUGUAAACAUAAAUAAAGAAUAGAGAAGAAACAAUGAACUUUAAAAAUAAAAGUUACGAAAAUUUCUUUCAAUUUUGUUAUUCUUCGAACUGAAUUAAUGAAGCAAUUAGUCUUUAAUUUCUUCGCUGGAGAAUGUAUUAAUGGAGAAAAAUGAAAAAAAAAAAUAGAGGAGAUUGUUGUUGGAGGAUGUGUUUGAGGUUGUUAAUGGAAAAAUUAAUUGUUGUAGAAAAUGAGUGUUGUUGUUUGUUGAUGUAUUGGAGAAUAAAAUGGUGUGGGUGUGGGGUGUAGGUGUGUGGGGUGGGGAUGAGAGGUUAAGGGGGGUGGGGGUAUUGAAGAAGAAAGGAGUAUUUUCUUAUAUAUAUAUAUAUAUAUAUAUAUAUAUAUAUAUGUAAAAUAAGGGGGAAAAAAAGAAAAAAAAUCUGAAACGCGCCNNNNNNNNNNNNNNNNNNNNNNNNNNNNNNNNNNNNNNNNNNNNNNNNNNNNNNNNNNNNNNNNNNNNNNNNNNNNNNNUUAAAACUUUGAAAGUUCAGAAAUAUUUAUUUUUAUUUACUUUUUUUAUAUAUGUAAUUUUCUUUUUUAGCAUUGAAUACACGUGCAACACACGUAUACUAAACUAGUAUGUAAAAUAAGUGGGAAAAGAAGAAGAAAAAUCUGAAACGCGCCCUUUUUUUUCUCUAAAUGCCACGUCAGCAUUAGAGGGGAAAAUAAUUCACUUUAAAGAUGUUAAGAGGGUAAAUAAACGAAAGUUAAGUUUAAGUGCUAAAGUGAGUUUGGAGGACAAGUUCAGGAGGGAUUUUUCUCAUAUAUAUACAUACAUCUAUAUACAUAUGUUUAUGCAUUUGAUUAUAUAUAGACUUAAGUCAUUGAAGGGGAGCCUUGGAGUAACUGGUAAAGUUGCUGCCAUGUGACCAAGAGGUUACGGGUUCAAGCCUUGGAAACAGCCUCUGCAGAAAUGUAAGGUAAGGCUGCGUACGAUACACCCUUGUGGUGGGGCCCUUCUCCGGACACCGCGCAUAGCGGUAGCUUUAGUGCACUGGGCUGCCCCUAUAAACUUAAGUCAUCGACAUACUCUCAAACUUGUUUCGAAAAUUUACUUAGGCUCCUCAACUAAGGCCUGUACCUAUCAGGCCCCUAACCUUCCCGAAUUUUGAUUCAAUCAAGCAUUUUUUGCCUAAUCAGCAAUAGGCAUAGAGUGUGUGUAAUACGCUCGCCUGACAUGGCAAAAUUAACCAAUUAAAAAAAACACGUGGCAAAAAAAAAUUAUACGUGGAAUUUCUGAUUUUUUCUAUUUUUCUAUUUAAUUAUCUAUUUAAUAAUAAUUUUUUAAUUAAAAAAAAGAAAAAAACACCCCUACCCUCCAAUAGUCAUCGCCAGAUACCUAUAUUAAAUUUACAUAUGUUUAUGCAUUUGUACAUACAUGUAUAUACAUAUAUAUAUAUAUGUAUAUACAUAGGCUUAAGUCAUCGGAAGACACUUAAAGUUGUCCUGAAAAUUCACUUAGACCCCUCAACUAAGGCUUGUACCGAUCAAACACCUCAAGUGCUAAAAUUGAUAUCUAUCAGGCACAAAAUACUGAUUUGGCAAGGAGAAUGUGUUAAACUCUCCUUGGGCACGUGAAUAGUAGUUAGAAUAAUAUUUUACUUUUUUUUAAUUAAAAAAUUUAUAUUUAAAUUAUUUUAUUAAUAUAAUUUUUAAUUAUCCUAAUAUUUUAAUUUUUUUUUUAAAAAAAGGAAAAGCCCCUCCCCCUAAGUCAUCAUCUUCUUCAUAACCCCCCAUUCCUCAUUGUCUUCAACCCCCCACCCUCCCCGUAGCCGUCGCAACUUUCCCCACUCCUUUAGCCGUCUUUUUUUCCAUUUAAUGUUUUCAAAUCCGUUGCCGGAACCCAUAAACCAUUGCCGAAAAUUAGAGAAUAAUCAACAACAACAACAAAUCCAGUGUAUUCCCACCAAGGGGGGUCUGGAGAGGGUAGAGUGUACGCAGUCCAUACCGCUACCUCCAGAGAAGUAGAGAGGCUGUUUCCGAUAGACCCCCGGCUCAAGAUAAAGAAAAGUAGACCAAAGCGUAAUUAAAUAAGAAGCAAGAUGGAUGACAUAACAUGACAAGGAAUAAGAC